rnacentral:rRNA from 1 species
AUGCGGUUGAGAGAGAGGGAUGUUCGAGCCACCUGACUGGAACACGGUCCAAGAUCCUUACGAGAGGCAACGCAUAUGGGGAAAUUAUUGCCCAAUUGGGCGACAAGUCCUGGAAGGCAGAACAUGCCCGCUGAUUAGAAAAAAGUCUUCGGGUCUUUAAAGGUACUUUCAUCGAGAGAGGACAGGCGUUUAAGAGUAAUACCUGCAUCGAUUGGACGGUAACUAGCAGAGAAGCACGGGCUUAACUUCCGUGGCAAGCAGCCGCGGGGUUAUUAGUGGAGGGUGCAAGCCUGUUACUCGGAAUUAUCUGGCGCGUAAAGCGUCAGCGCAGGCGGUCUGUCAGGUCGGAUUGGAAGUCCCCGGGUUCAACGUGGAGGGUCCAUGGGAAAUUGGCAGGCUAGAGUCUUAUAGAGAGAGGGUAGAAUUCCAGGUGUAGCGGUGAAUUGCGUAGAGAUCUGGAGGAAUACAGGUGGCGAAGGCGGCCUCCUGUACAAAGACUGACGCUCAGAGUGAAAAGCGUGGGGAGCAAACAGGAUUAGAUACCUUGGUAGUCCACGCGGUAAACGAUGUCGACUUGGAGGUUGUGCCCUUGAGGCGUGGCUUCCGGAGCUAACGCGUUAAGUCGUCCGCCUGGGGAGUACGGCCGCAAGGUUAAAACUCAAAUGAAUUGACGGGGGCCCGCACAAGCGGUGGAGCAUGUGGUUUAAUUCGAUGCAACGCGAAGAACCUUACCUACUCUUGACAUCCUGAGAAAUUAGCAGAGAUGGUUUGGUGCCUUCGGGAACUGUGAGACAGGUGGUGCAUGGCUGUCGUCAGCUCGUGUUGUGAAAUGUUGGGUUAAGUCCCGCAACGAGCGCAACCCUUAUUCUUUGUUGCCAGCGGUUAGGUCGGCAAUUCAAAGGAGACUCCCAGUGAUAAACGGGAGGAAGGUGGGGAGGAGGUCAAGUCAUCAUGGCCCUUACGAGUAGGGCUCCCCACGUGUUCCAAUGGCAUAUACAAAGAGAAGCGACCUCCAGAGAGCAAGCGGACCUCAUAAAGUAUGUCGUAGUCCGGAUUGGAGUCUGCAACUCGACUCCAUGAAGUCGGAAUCGCUAGUAAUCGGGAUCAGAAUGCCACGGUGAAUACGUUCCCGGGCCUUGCACACACCGCCCGUCACCCCAUGGGAGUGGGACCAAAAGAAGUAGUUAGGUUAACCUUCGGAACCCCCUUCCC